UAUAUACUCUUUCCGUCCCAAAAUUCUUGUCUUAGAUUUGUCUAAAUACGAAUGUAUCAAGUCACGUUUUAGUAUUAGAUACAUCCACAUCUAAAAAAAUCUAAGACAAAAAUUUUGGAACAGAGUACUUU
rfam:Triticum aestivum genome assembly, contig: Triticum_aestivum_CS42_TGACv1_scaffold_290893_4AL